CUACGGGAGGCAGCAGUGGGGAAUAUUGGACAAUGGGCGAAAGCCUGAUCCAGCGACGCCGCGUGGGUGAAGAAGGCCUGCGGGUUGUAAAGCCCUUUCGGUUGGGAAGAAAAGUAUUGACCUAACACGUCAGUACCUUGACGUAACCAACAAAAGAAGCACCGGCUAACUCUGUGCCAGCAGCCGCGGUAAUACAGAGGGUGCAAGCGUUAAUCGGAAUUACUGGGCGUAAAGCGCAGGUAGGCGGCUUGAUAAGUCGAGUGUGAAAUCCCCGGGCUUAACCUGGGACCUGCAUUUGAAACUGUCUUGCUAGAGUAUGGGAGAGGGAAGUGGAAUUUCAGGUGUAGCGGUGAAAUGGGUAGAUAUCUGAAGGAACAUCAGUGGCGAAAGCGACUUCCUGGACCAAUACUGACGCUCAGGUGCGAAAGCGUGGGGAGCAAACAGGAUUAGAUACCCUGGUAGUCCACGCCAUAAACGAUGAGAACUAGAUGUUGGGAGGAUUAGCCUCUCGGUGUCGUAGCUAACGCGUUAAGUUCUCCGCCUGGGGAGUACGGUCGCGAGGUUGAAACUCAAAUGAAUUGACG
rnacentral:rRNA from 1 species